GGGGAGGCUUUGUCCUGGCAGGAGGCUCAGGUAGAUGUCGAGGGGGAGGAGUUUCCCUCCACUACUACGGGUCUAACACCUGGGAUGGUGAUGUAUUUCAUCGGAAGGAUCGCCCCCAGUGCUUGGAGCGACAAAUUUCCGGCGAAGUUUAUCCCGUUACAUGCAGAAGUUGAAGCCUUCAUCUGGGCGAUGCAAUGUAUGAUUGGACAUGACUUCCGGGAUGUGGCUUUUCUUACCGACUGCUCCGACUUGGUGAAGAUGGUGUCUUCCCCAACUGAUUGGCCAGCUUUUGCAAUAUAUUUAGAUGACAUUCGGAUCGACAUGGAGGAGUUUUCUUCUUUCUCUUUGAUUUAUGUUUCUCGUAAUGCUAAUGUACGAGCGGAUUUUUUAGCACGCCAAGUGCGUGUGUUUCUGCAUCAUGUUUUGUUUGUAGACAAUUUUCUUCAUAAUUGGCUCGUCUGAGCUGAUUCUUUAGUAUAAAAAAUAAAAAAAACUCUAAACAUAGGGUUUCAAUUGA